rnacentral:rRNA from 2 species
AACGUAGGAUCCGAGCGUUAUCCGAAUUUACUGGGCGUAAAGCGUGUGCAGGCGGUUCGGUAAGUUGGAUGUGAAAUCUCCUGGCUCAACUGGGAGAGGUCGUUCAAUACUACCGGACUAGAGGAUGGUAGAGGGAGGUGGAAUUCCCGGUGUAGUGGUGAAAUGCGUAGAUAUCGGGAGGAACACCAGUGGCGAAGGCGGCCUCCUGGACCAUUCCUGACGCUCAGACACGAAAGCUAGGGGAGCGAACGGG